rnacentral:rRNA from 1 species
UCAGUUCGUACUGUGAAGCAUCCUGUUAAGUCAGGCAACGAGCGAGACCCACGCCCACAGUUGCCAGCGUACUCUCCGGAGUGACGGGUACACGUGUGGGGACCGCCGCUGCUAAAGCGGAGGAAGGAAUGGGCAACGGUAGGUCAGUAUGCCCCGAAUAUCCCGGGCUACACGCGAGCUACAAUGGUUGGUACAAUGGGUAUCUACCCCGAAAGGGGACGGAAAUCUCCUAAAACCAAUCUUAGUUCGGAUUGAGGGCUGCAACUCGCCCUCAUGAAGCUGGAAUCCGUAGUAAUCGCGUUUCAACAGAACGCGGUGAAUACGUCCCUGCUCCUU